UACGAAGGGUGCAAACGUUGCUCGGAAUUAUUGGGCGUAAAGCGCACGUAGGCGGCAUUGCAAGUCCCAUGUGAAAGCCCACGGCUUAACCGUGGAAGUGCAUGGGAAACUGCAGUGCUUGAGUACUUAAGAGGAUCGCGGAAUUCCCGGUGUAGAGGUGAAAUUCGUAGAUAUCGGGAGGAACACCAGUGGCGAAGGCGGCACUCUGGGCCGGUACUGACGCUGAGGAGCGAAAGCGUGGGGAGCGAACAGG
rnacentral:rRNA from 1 species